UCUCAUCUUGUAUUAAAUGGGAAUAACCAGGUAGCUCAUGGUUAACAUGUAUGCCCGGCCCAUUAUUAUCCUAUACGCCUUCUAUCGCAGCCCAACACAUGUAGCCAAAUUUUUAAAGGUAUUAAGUCACCGAUAUCUCUCAAACACUUUGUGAAAAGUUCAUUUGCGAACACCUCUUCUCUUGAUAAAUACUUCAGCUCUGUCCUCCCCUCUGUCGAUUGGUAUUUUUUACUGUGUGUUUUUUUCUCAUCUAGUAUUUCUUGUACUAAUUAUUUCAGUCCUUCACAAUACGCCAGGUGUAUCUGUUUUCCUCCAAGUAGCGAAAAAAUUCCCAUAGAGAAACUGUAAUAAGUUCAUAGAUUUUGUUCUCUAAGUGUUUGACGAAAAAUUUCAAUCAGUUUUUCUAUUAGAUUUCAUAUGCAUGUUCUAGUUUCAUUCUUUGGUUGCCAUUUCUUUUUGGUUUCUUCCGCAUACCCUUAGUUAGACUGUUGAUGUGUGCCUCUAUGUUUUUCUGUUUCUCGCUACAUCAUUUUAAUUUCUGAUAUAUCACCAGUAGACACUAUUUGAAGGGUAGUUAUGUAAAUUGUUCUGUUGCGGAAAGAAGAAGAAGAAGAAGAAGUGGAAGAAGAAGAAAAGGAGGAGGAGCCGGUGAUCAGUAAUGUUUCUUUAUUGAAUGAACACCGUGACACAUGAACUCCGUGCUACCAAAUUGUUAGCCAGUUACUUCUUAAUUUAGCUUGCUAGCCUUCACGAAAAUCAUAUAUUCCUUAAAUGGUGUAUUGAUUUCUCAAUCAGUUGUCAAAAAGAUGGGUUGCGCCGUCAAAGAAUAUAAUAUCUGACUGAAACUACAUAUUUUGGAUUAUUGCUUGGACUUCCACAAUAACUUAACCAUUAAACCAAGUAAUUCGUUCCCUUAUUCCUGAACUAGGGUGAGAGUAUCCUUAUCUGCAAAACAUAUGCUGUGAGGUUUAAGUCAGCAUUUACCUGCUUUCAUGGAAUGCAAAAUCCUGAGGGAGCUAGUAAAGUACUCUAUGUAUGAGGGAGCUACUAAAGUACUCUAUAUAUGUUAUAACAGUAUCUUGUCUCACCAUAUAAUCUUAAUGUCGAUUAACAGAGGAAACUAUUGAAAAGAGAAAUAUGGUUUUAGCUAAAUCUUUUAUUCCUGGUUUACAGAGCUGUUGCAAUUCGAAGAGAGAAGGGAGGGGCAUGUCUUCAACCGAAACUGCCAUACAAUGGAUUAGUUUCUGCGCUGCUGCUUUUACUCCGUUGGAUAGAUAGUUCUUGCACAUGCUUGCUCCCUGAUAAUCUAAAUCUCUUUCGUGUCCUUAUUUACAAGGUUUGGCCUCAAUUUCUCUUGUUCAUUCUGAAAUAUAUUUCUUUACCCUUGCCCAUUCCUUCUUUUUGCAACUAAUCGUAAUUUAAUUCCCUUUUGUAGGUGGUUUAUACAUUAGAAGAGUCAAUAUGUGUAAAUCAAACAGCAUAUACCGAAAAAGAAUCAUCAAACUCCAAUUUGCAUCUAGAUUUGAUGAGUGUUCAAUAUUUUUCUUUUCUGCACUUUAUUAGUGACAAUAAAAAGACUAGGACAUAGUCAUAACGGGAAACGGUAGGAAUUGAGUGUGACGAAGGGGUUAAACUAUUUUGCUAAUUGCUUGAGUCAGAAUCAUAUUUGCACAGAUGAUACAUCACCUACUUGGUAGUUUUGUCAUACUUUGUUGAAAGAGGUCUCACGAUUUUGAACGACUUUCGUGAAAGCUACAUUUUUUAUUUUUGUUUUUGCUGUUGCUAUUUUAAAUCUGGUUAUUUUGUAUGAAUAGGUUUUCAAAUGAAUAAGAUGUUUACUGGCUGAUAAGUUAACCAAAUUUUUCUACAAUUAUAUAUACCAAUGUUACAAGUAGUUGAUCAUUUUAGGUCCUUUCUAGCAGUUAACAAACUAUGUUAUUGUUUCAUAUAUUCUUGAACAAAAAUUCGAUUAUAUCACAUUUUAUGAAUAGUUAGUGCAUAACCUUUUCUUCUCAUUGAUGGCAAAUUAUACAUUCUUUUAUAUACACCUCCAGUUACAUCAUGGAAGGAUGUGCUAUGUGAAAUUUACAUGCUCCUUACAAUUUUAUGUUUAAGCAAUGCAGCUAAACAUAAAUUUGCACAAAUAGUUGGAUUGAGACAUGGACAUUGAAGGAUGAAUUCGCUAUUCUCUAUAUUUCAACCCCGAACAAAAAUACUUAUAUUUGGUGACUGUUUUGUCAACCCUGAAUGACCUCAAUAGUUUAGGGUAAACUUUAAUGAUAGAGAACGGUCACCUUUCACACUUUUGCAGCCACUUUGAACUUAGUUUAUCGUCUUUAUUACCAUUAUCUUUUUUUGUUCUUUUUUUUGUUUAACAUUUUCUCUUCUCCAUUCAUAUGUGCAGAGGGUAAAUUCAAUACAUGCAUUAUGGUCUUUCGACCUUAAUCAAGACAUUUACCAUGAAACAGUAACAGUGAUCAAAUGUACAUUGUACGACCACCUCAAUCUUGAUCUGUACAACAACCUCAAAGGUGAUUGCGGAACUAAGUUAAAAUGUAAUAGAGUUUUGAAACUAGUAGUUCUAAUUGUGAUAUAGGUACUGCAUAUGGUGUGCAUAGUUGCUACAAUCUUCUCCAAAAUCUGGAUAGUAAAAGAUAACACGGAGGACAAAAACAACACACAAAAAUUCUCUGCUUUGUAGGGGAAUAUUGUCGAGGCAGCAUGUCUUAGCCAAGAUAAUUGAUAGAGAAGAGGACUUUCUAUUUGUAACGGAUGUUACCUGUGUAAAAACUGACAAAUAGAAUCUAUCAGUCAUUUAAAAAAAUUUUAGGUAUUGACUUCAUGAUGCCACAAAAUAUCAAAUGAUUUCUUUCGGAUCGGCGAGCACAAAG
rnacentral:lncRNA from 1 species